rnacentral:tRNA from 1 species
GCGUCGUUAGUCUAGUGGCCAUGACCUGAGCCUUCCAAGCUCAUGACCCGGGUUCGAAUCCCGGCCGACGCA